ACUAGGAAGUGUGUCUCCUAGGGGUGAAACUUCAAUGACUCAAACUAGGAAAUGUGUCUCCCACGAAUGAACUUAAAUGAACCAGACUAGGAAGUGCGUCUCCUAGGAGAAAAUCUCAAUUUAGGAAGUGUGUCUCCUAAAACAACAAUACAACCUGAACUGCCCAGACUAGGAAGUGCGUCUCCUAGGGGGUGAAAUCUCAAUUUAGGAAGUGCGUCUCUUAAAAUAAAAAUAUAACUUGAACUAUCCAGACUAGGAAGUGCGUCUCCUAAGGGUGAAAUCUUAAUUUAGGAAGUGCGUCUCCUAAAAUAAAAAUAUAACCUGAACUACCCAGACUAGGAAGUGCGUCUCCUAGGGGUGAAAUCUCAAUUUAGGAAGUGCGUC
rnacentral:lncRNA from 1 species